UACGAAGGGGGCUAGCGUUGCUCGGAAUCACUGGGCGUAAAGGGUGCGUAGGCGGGUCUUUUAAGUCAGGGGUGAAAUCCUGGAGCUCAACUCCAGAACUGCCUUUGAUACUGGGGAUCUCGAGUCCGGGAGAGGUGAGUGGAACUCCGAGUGUAGAGGUGAAAUUCGUAGAUAUUCGGAAGAACACCAGUGGCGAAGGCGGCUCACUGGCCCGGUACUGACGCUGAGGUGCGAAAGCGUGGGGAGCAAACAGG
rnacentral:rRNA from 1 species